rnacentral:rRNA from 1 species
UACGUAGGGAGCAAGCGUUGUCCGGAAUCAUUGGGCGUAAAGCGCGCGUAGGCGGCCCUGUAAGUCCGUUGUGAAAGUCAAAGGCUCAACCUUUGAAAGCCGAUGGAUACUGCAGGGCUAGAGUCCGGAAGAGGCGAGUGGAAUUCCUGGUGUAGCGGUGGAAUGCGCAGAUAUCGGGAGGAACACCUAUGGCGAAGGCAGCUCGCUGGGACGUUACUGACGCUGAGACGCGAAAGCGUGGGGAGCGAACAGG